CAAAAUAUGAGGUACUAACGGACAUGAGCAUGCCAGUACUUUAACAUCAGCCGCAGAUCAAUGACUGUCGGAGGCGUCGUUUACUCGCUGGGCCGGUCCGUUCCCGUCAUCCAUCAGCGUGUGGAUUUUAACUAAAGAACGAUGGCCUGAUGCCUGAUGUUUACGCCGCUCGUUCCAGCUUUCCACUAACUCUCGCCGACUUUAAAUGAAAGCCCAUAUUCACAGACAGCUCAACAUGUCUUUCUGUCAAGAGCCGCAUAUGAGAUUGAACCCGGGUGCCAUCAGUGAUGUCAGGACCUCUUUUUCCAGCAGCUCAUGAUUCAAAAAGACCUGUAUGUGCAGAAAUGAGUGUCUGAAGAUCAGCAGAAUUUAAAGCAGCUCAUGUGCAGACCGGAGAUGAGUGUGAACGCAAAUGUCUUCUCUCUCCUUCUGGUUUGUCAGUCAGCAGGAUAACGUGCUAACGCGCAGCCCUGUUGCUUUUAACACAUGUGGAGCGAAUGGAGGCGACCUGUGGAGGCCACUCGCUGUGAACAGCGGCGUGUGACUGCGAGCAGACAGACUCUGUUGCUGCUGUCAGGUGGAGGGUGAAUAACGUGCUAACGACUUAAACCAGCGGAGAGCGAGUGUGAGGACGAUCGGAGAGCCCGGCGAGAAUGACGUGUUUUGCAGGACAGAGGCAGCGGAGUAAGAAACCGCACAGCCGAUCUGUAUCUAGGCCACAGACUGAGAACAGCGAGGGUCCUCGGGGAGGAUAAACAUGCAACUCCACUCGCCGCACAACAACAACAGGCAGUGAAAUGGAAGCUGACAGAACACACACCUGCAGAAAAACAGUGUUAUACAACCAUGGCAAUGAAUUGGCACCAAAAUCAUUUAUUUAUUAUGUACAUGGACAUAUAAACAUGGAAAAUGAAAAUUUAUUCUAUUUACUUUUUUAAUGUAUGUUCUUGGUCUUAUUGUUAAGGUUCCAUCAGUGUUAAUUCCAAAAAAAUAAGAAUAGAAUAUUUAGUCAUUUUCUCCACCUCUGAAAUCACUUUGUUUUGGCUGAUGUUAAAGGCACAAUAUGUCAUUUUCGCCACUAGAGGUCACUUACUCAAAACAAAGGCAUAGCUUGAUGACGCCUUGAUUUGGUGGAAUCAUGGGAGGUGUUGUGUUCACGUCUACAGCUGGUGGACCCGUGCAUAAAUCAUAUUCAUGGAUGAGCUAAUGUAUUACAAGAUUCAUUAACAUUACUGUAGUAUUAAGCAAGAGCAGUGGAGCUUUUAUUAUGCCGCAGACGAGCACUUUUGCUUCUUCCGGUCAUGAGUA